rnacentral:rRNA from 1 species
UCGGACGAAUACCACAGGGGGUAGAGCACUGUUUCGGCUAGGGGGUCAUCCCGACUUACCAACCCGAUGCAAACUCCGAAUACCUGUGAGUACUAUCCGGGAGACACACGGCGGGUGCUAACGUCCGUCGUGAAGAGGGAAACAACCCAGACCGCCAGCUAAGGUCCCCAAGUACCAGUUAAGUGGGAAACGAUGUGGGAAGGCUCAGACAGCUAGGAGGUUGGCUUAGAAGCAGCCAUCCUUUAAAGAAAGCGUAA